rnacentral:rRNA from 1 species
CUAAUACAUGCAAGUCGAACGCUUUGUCUUUAAUUGAUCUGACGAGCUUGCUCUGAUUUGAUUUUAUCUGACAAAGAGUGGCGAACGGGUGAGUAACACGUGGGUAACCUACCUCUUAGCAGGGGAUAACAUUUGGAAACAAGUGCUAAUACCGUAUAAUACCAACAACCGCAUGGUUGUUGGUUGAAAGAUGGUUCUGCUAUCACUAAGAGAUGGACCCGCGGUGCAUUAGCUAGUUGGUAAGGUAACGGCUUACCAAGGCAAUGAUGCAUAGCCGAGUUGAGAGACUGAUCGGCCACAAUGGGACUGAGACACGGCCCAUACUCCUACGGGAGGCAGCAGUAGGGAAUCUUCCACAAUGGGCGCAAGCCUGAUGGAGCAACGCCGCGUGUGUGAUGAAGGGUUUCGGCUCGUAAAACACUGUUAUAAGAGAAGAACGGCACUGAGAGUAACUGUUCAGUGUGUGACGGUAUCUUACCAGAAAGGAACGGCUAAAUACGUGCCAGCAGCCGCGGUAAUACGUAUGUUCCAAGCGUUAUCCGGAUUUAUUGGGCGUAAAGCGAGCGCAGACGGUUAUUUAAGUCUGAAGUGAAAGCCCUCAGCUCAACUGAGGAAUGGCUUUGGAAACUGGAUGACUUGAGUGCAGUAGAGGAAAGUGGAACUCCAUGUGUAGCGGUGAAAUGCGUAGAUAUAUGGAAGAACACCAGUGGCGAAGGCGGCUUUCUGGACUGUAACUGACGUUGAGGCUCGAAAGUGUGGGUAGCAAACAGGAUUAGAUACCCUGGUAGUCCACACCGUAAACGAUGAGUGCUAGAUGUUCGAGGGUUUCCGCCCUUGAGUGUCGCAGCUAACGCAUUAAGCACUCCGCCUGGUGAGUACGACAGCAAGGUUGAACUCAAGGAAUUGACAGGGACCCGCACAAGCGUGGAGCAUGUGGUUAAUUCGAG